AAAGGUACCACAGUAUUACCCCUUAAAGGUGUCAGUAUAAAGGUACCACAGUAUUACUCCUUAAAGGUGUCAGUAUAAAGGUACCACAGUAUUACUCCUUAAAGGUGUCAGUGUAAAGGUACCACAGUAUUACUCCUUAAAGGUACCACAGUAUUACUCCUUAAAGGUGUCAGUAUAAAGGUACCACAGUAUUACUCCUUAAAGGUGUCAGUAUAAAGGUACCACAGUAUUAAUCCUUAAAGGUGUUAGUAUAAAGGUACCACAGUAUUACUCCUUAAAGGUGUCAGUAUAAAGGUACCACAGUAUUAAUCCUUAAAGGUACCACAGUAUUACUCCUUAAAGGUGUCAGUAUAAAGGUACCACAGUAUUACUCCUUAAAGGUGUCAGUAUAAAGGUACCACAGUAUUACUGCUUAAAGGUGUCAGUAUAAAGGUACCACAGUAUUACUCCUUAAAGGUGUCAGUAUAAAGGUACCACAGUAUUACUGCUUAAAGGUGUCAGUAUAAAGGUACCACAGUAUUACUCCUUAAAGGUGUCAGUAUAAAGGUACCACAGUAUUACCCCUUAAAGGUGUCAGUAUCAAGGUACCACAGUAUUACUCCUUAAAGGUGUCAGUAUAAAGGUACCACAGUAUUACUCCUUAAAGGUGUCAGUAUAAAGGUACCACAGUAUUAAUCCUUAAAGGUACCACAGUAUUACUCCUUAAAGGUGUCAGUAUAAAGGUACCACAGUAUUACUCCUUAAAGGUGUCAGUAUAAAGGUACCACAGUAUUACUCCUUAAAGGUGUCAGUAUAAAGGUACCACAGUAUUAAUCCUUAAAGGUACCACAGUAUUACUCCUUAAAGGUGUCAGUAUAAAGGUACCACAGUAUUACUCCUUAAAGGUGUCAGUAUAAAGGUACCACAGUAUUACUGCUUAAAGGUGUCAGUAUAAAGGUACCACAGUAUUACUCCUUAAAGGUGUCAGUAUAAAGGUACCACAGUAUUACCCCUUAAAGGUGUCAG